rnacentral:tRNA from 1 species
UUCUGAGUGGCUCAGAUGGUAAAGCGUCUGUCUGCAAUGCGGGAGACCUGGGUUCGAUUCCUGGGUCCGGAA